rnacentral:lncRNA from 10 species
ACCCAGGCUGGUUUCCUUCCCAACGCCACCCUCAGAUUCAUUAUUAAAUGAUGCUGUGGACUCCAGGGAGCCCAUGUCUCUAAACGCCACCUGAUUUCCUCAGAAAUGCACCUGGCCACCUAGGAGUAGGUAGGUGGAACUAGAAAUCAGAAAAUGAUUGUUUCCCUAGUCUGAAGAAAGCACCCCACAGUGUGAUUUUCUCAAGAGAAAGUGCUUGCUAUGUGCCCUGAGUGUUUUAAGGCAGGCUGGCUGUUUUUGGAAGCCACCCACUUUCCUUCAUUUUUGUCUUCACUACCCUAAUCUGAACAACCACCCUCUUGCAUGACAUUCUGCAAUUAUCCCUACCUGAAAGCCCCCUCUCCACAUCCCAUCAACAGCCAGAAUGUUUCCAAAGUGGAAACCAGCUAUGAGGAAUCCCUGUCCCCACUCUGGUAAAUGUUCCCCAUGACUCCUAGAUGGAGCUACAAGGAGCAUCAGUACCUUUCACCUGCAGGGCAUGAGGGUCAGGUACUUACCCACUAGUCUGGUCUGAGUCCUACUUUUCUCUGCUCUUGGGAAGUGCUUCCUUCUCCCUCCUCCCUCCUUCUCCUCCUCUGCAGUUAUAUCUCUGGUCAGUUCCCAAAUCUCUUUACAACAGGCUCUCAUCCCACUUACCCUAGUGUUGAUUUUAUUUGUGUGGAUGUGGUUCUUCCAUUAACUUGCAUCUCCCCUGUGAGCCGCAUGAGGACAGGGAGGUUCUGUCUCAUUUUUCGAUGCCAGCAAUUGUGCCAGUCAUGUUCAAAAUGGCAGCACCAUCUUCCCUUCUCUUUCUCAUCCACGUGUACAGUAAGGAACAGACAAGAUGGCACUGGUCAACGGGAGAGUUCAUUUGCAUAAUAAGUUUAGGGUGGGGCAGCCAGCCUUCCUCAAGUGCUAUGUAAAUGUCAUACCUGAUCGAACCAACCUGUGAACCCUAUG